rnacentral:rRNA from 1 species
AGCGAACGCUGGCGGCAGGCCUAACACAUGCAAGUCGAACGAACCUUUCGGGGUUAGUGGCGGACGGGUGAGUAACACGUGGGAACGUGCCUUUAGGUUCGGAAUAACUCAGGGAAACUUGUGCUAAUACCGAAUGUGCCCUUCGGGGGAAAGAUUUAUCGCCUUUAGAGCGGCCCGCGUCUGAUUAGCUAGUUGGUUGAGGUAAUGGCUCACCAAGGCGACGAUCAGUAGCUGGUCUGAGAGGAUGAUCAGCCACAUUGGGACUGAGACACGGCCCAAACUCCUACGGGAGGCAGCAGUGGGGAAUCUUGCGCAAUGGGCGAAAGCCUGACGCAGCCAUGCCGCGUGAAUGAUCAAGGUCUUAGGAUUGUAAAAUUCUUUCACCGGGGACGAUAAUGACGGUACCCGGAGAAGAAGCCCCGGCUAACUUCGUG